GAGGGUAUAGCUCAGUGGUGGAGUGCCUGCUUAGCAUGCACCAGGUCCUGGGUUCAAUCCCCAGGACCUCCA
rfam:Camelus ferus unplaced genomic scaffold scaffold707, whole genome shotgun sequence.